GGGUAACGGCCCACCAAGGCGACGAUUGGUAGCCGGACUGAGAGGUUGAACGGCCACAUUGGGACUGAGACACGGCCCAGACUCCUACGGGAGGCAGCAGUGGGGAAUAUUGCACAAUGGGGGAAACCCUGAUGCAGCGAUGCCGCGUGAGGGAAGAAGGUUUUCGGAUUGUAAACCUCUGUUUUAAGUGAAGAUAAUGACGGUAGCUUAAGAGGAAGCCACGGCUAACUAC
rnacentral:rRNA from 1 species